rnacentral:lncRNA from 1 species
AAAUUUUUUAAAAUUAGAUAAAAAUAAAUUUAAAUUUCACUUGUCAAAAAGAAUCAGAAGAAUAUAAUUUUUAAUAAAUUAAUUUAAAAAUCUACUAAAAAAUACCCAAAAAUCAAAUCAGCUAAAUUAUUAAAAAGUCAAACUUACUUUCUUGUUUAUAAUAAAAAAAGGAUGCCAAAAAAGGAAGUUUAGCAGUAACAAUCCUCAUACCAAACUCUUAACUCUCUCUUUUAUUCCUAAUUUGUGGUGUUGUCUCUAAAUUCUUGUUAUCAAGUGUGAAGUCCUUUCCUUGGGACUUGUUGAAAACAAAUUACUCUACUUAGUACUUGUUUCAAAUUCUUUACCAAAUCAGUGUUUAAAACACGAUUUCUUGUGAAGUUGUGCAUUAAAAACAUAUAGUACUGGUUUCGAGUUGUUUACCAAAUCAAAAAUCAAGUACGAAAACACAUUUUAAAUGAAGUUGUGCAUUAAAAACAUAUAAUAUUUGUUUCGAGUUGUUUACCAAAUCAGCAUACUAAAAUACGAUUUCUCAUAAAAUCAUGCAUUUAAAACACAUUUUUUUUCAAAGUGCCGGAAGAAAACCCAACUUUAGUAGUAAAUCUGGUUCAAAAUUGUGUUUUCAACACACGACUUCAUAAGAAAUAGUAUUUUAGAAGUCGUAUUAAAAACAUAAUUUUUUUCGAAAUCCUAGAUGAAAACCCAACUUUAGUAGUAAAUCUGGUUUAAAAUUGUGUUUUCAACUCUCGAUUUUAUGAGAAAUCGUAUUUUAGUCCCCGCGACGUCAAAAAAAUAUAUGAAUUUAGUAAAUAAGUUUUAAAUUAUUUAGGAAUGGUAAAUUUCAAAAAAUUAUUAGGUACUCCCGGAGUACCAUAUGGCAUUGCCUACGUGAUAUUCCCAGCAAAUGACUAUCCGUACCGUAAAGCACACAUUGUGGGUUUCUCUUUGUCCCUUAAUUUUUCAACAAAAUCAUCCUAUUCUACCCAAAAAAAUUGUCGUUACGUGAUUGAUUGGAAUACCACGUGUAAGUGCCACAUAAUAUUCUGAAAACGUUGAAUAAUUACACUUCAAUUAAAUUUUAAACUGUUCGUUUGUUAUGGUAAAAAAAUUCUACCUGUUUAUCGAUCUCUUGGCACUUUCUUUCAUCCUGUUCUCACAUGCAUCACAUGCCUGUGACGAAGUAUGACAUGGUCCCGAGAAAACCAUUAUUCUCAAGUUACAUUCUCUUGAUCAAGCCAUCAAAUUUGACUGCUAUGGCACACUUUGUCAAUAAUAUAUUAAUAACGCAAGAGACAGAAAUAGUGAUAUGGCGCAAUCUUAGCCACACAAUAAAUAUAAAUAGUAUGUAAUGUGUAUUAUAGCAUUUUUUUAAUAAUAUGCGCAAGGAUAGAUCUUGAGGGCGUAGGGGGAGCGAUCACACCUUCAGUUUGAAAAAAUUCACUAAUUAUACUAUAAAUUUUAAUAUAAUUCAGAUAUUAUAUAGGUUAGUCCCUCAAAUUUUUUACAUAUAAUUUUAAAAUUAUAGAGAUUAGCCUCUUAAAAUAAAAAUUCUAGAUCCGUCCCUGAAUAUGUGUUCAUUUUUUAAUAAUAUGCGCAAGGAUAGAUUUUGAGGGCGUAGGGGAGCGAUCGCACCUUCAAAAGUUUUAAAAAAAUCACUAAUUAUAUUACAAAUUUUAAUAUAAUUUAGAUAUUAUAUAGGUUAGUCCUCCAAAUUUUUUAUAAAUAAUUUCAAAAUUAUAGAGAUUAACCUCUUAAAAUAAAAAUUCUAGAUCCGUCCCAGAAUAUGCGUUCAUUUGUUUGGUAGUAGGACUCAUGUUAUUAGGUUGGUACAAUAGUUGAUGGUGUGCUGGAUUUAUCAAGUACUCUCUAUUUCCAAUCCAUUUAAUCGAUUAAUAAAACAUUAAAUAUUAUGAUUGCUUCAGUUGAACUUAAUCAAGUUGGUCAACGAAUGUGAUGUCAUGUGACUCAGAUGACAAAUAUGCCCUUACACUUGUCCCAACAAGAAGAGACAAAUGGAGGAUGUAAGUGUAAUUUGACCUUCCAUGGGGUCCACUAAAGAAGUGAACUGGCUCUUGUCAAUGGGUGGCGUGUGUCAUUAACAGACGCAAGUCGGGUUAAAUAAAGGAAUUAAAUGGUCCAAAUCAUUAGUGAUUACGUGAUUAUCAAAAAUUAAGGAUAAACCAAAGCUUUAAUAAUUAAUAAAAAUGAUAAUUGAAAAGAAAUAAGGUUUUUUGCGGUAUUUUUGAUUCGUUGUGAUUACAUAAAUAAAAUAUAUAUAAAAAAAUAUGUUAAAUAAUAAAUAAAGAGAAAUAAAUUUUUUUUGCGUUAUUUUUGUCUCUAAAGAAUUAUUAUUUAUUAUUUUUUCAUUUAUGUUUGCUCUAGUCACAGCGAAAAGAAAAUUAGAAAAAAAUAUUAAAAAUAAAAAAAACUAGAAAAAAAAUAUUAAAAGUAACAAAAAAUCGAAAUGGAGGUAAAUUGGAACUAAUGGAAAUUGUAAGUUCAU